UCUCAGUGAUGCAGAAAAUGAUGACGAGUCUGAUCGUAUUAACGUUUGAUGCCAAACGAGGCAUUUGUCUGAGAGAA
rnacentral:snoRNA from 1 species